CCCCAAUUUUCAUCAAAAUGGAAACUCCUCUAUUCAUGGUACACUGUUUGGGGAUGAGUGAUCUUGUCUAAGUGGUUGUGCAUUUUUUUGUCUCUCUAUGAGUAUUUAUUAUUAUAUUUUACUGGGAACUUCUGCCUUGCAUUUGUAUUUAAUUUUUAUUUUCUUUACGACAUAAAGGCAAUGAUUUCCCUUUGACUUGUUAUUUUUUUCCGUCCAAUUUUUUUUUUUUUUUAAUUAGAAUCUUGCGUGCAUGAUUUAUAAGAAGAAAGAUGUAUUUUAACAUGUGUAUAUUGGAAAUACAACUAUGGCAUUCUUGUCAUAAGCAAUGAAGAAAUUUUGUACCUAACAGUAUUAAUGCAAUAAUCUUGUUACAUUGUUUAUCAAGGUAGCUAGUUUGAAUAUGUACUACAUUUCCAAAGCUUUCAGCCGAAUUGGCUUUCCUUUGUUUUUAUAAUUGUUCAACUGGCUGGAACUGUACCAUGUUUUGAUCUGUUCAUUGUUCAUAGUCUGAAUCAUGUUUUCCAUGUUGUGUUACUGUAUGUAUGGUGUACAAUUUAUUUAUGCAUUGUAAUUUAAUUUCUGUUCGUGUACUUGAAUCAAAUAUAGUUUUGAUAUCUCCUCCAUUGAAAAUGGAGAUUUUUCAGUGAAAGAAAAUAAGUUUGUUCAAUUAGAAUACUUGGCAUAUUGUGGACUUUCCCUUUAUGAAACAGAAUUAACUGAGUGAUCUCCUUUGUAUAGAUAUAUAGAUGUACAGACGUUGACAAUACAUAAUAUGUGUACUGGUAUAAACUGUAACGGUAAUUACCUGUUAAUCAUGAUAUAUCAAGAAUUCAAAUGUACAACUAAGAUAUGUAAGUGCUUUUUAUAACUGUUACAUGGUUUAUUUUUUACUUAUAUUACCGAUAUAUUAUAGCUAAAUUGAAUAAGGAUCAUUCAUUGGCAAUAACACAAACAAACAGAAUUGAUGUGUAUUUGAAGAAAGCUACCACUGUUGGUUUUGCUGUAUAAGCCUUUUAAGGUGGAAUCUUUACACCUCUGAAUUUUUUAUUUCUUUCCUUUAUUAAGGUAAUGAUUUUUAUAUUAAUUUUUUUUUUUUGGAAUCUUGAGUUUCCUAAGUGCUUUAAAUGGUGCAUUUGUCACAUGCUAGCAUACAUUUGGUAAAGAGAGUUUACUGGAAAGACUGGUUGUUGUUAAACAUUAGAACAAAAAUAGAUGUUAAUUAUCUGUGAUACAAAACAAAUGUAUAGGUAAAUAUAUGGUUGUGUUACUUAUACACUAAUAAUAAUGGUGGUUUGAUCGCAUGGGCCCAGGAAUCUGUGUCAGUAGAACGGUCAAUGACAAGGUAAAGUUACAGUGCCAAACAAUUUGUUUAUAAGGCAUUCCAUUCAUUUUUAAUAAAGCAUUGUUUUCCCUCUGAUGAAUUCGUACAUGUAAUUUUCUAACAUUCAUGUUUGUAGUUCUUGCCUAUCUCUAUUUGAUAAAGGGUUUAAACAUUCUUCUCAGCUGUAGAGGUGCUACUUGAUAAGCAUUUAGUGAAAUAAAUGAACUCAUUUAUAUUUGUUGUGAUAUGUUUUUUUUAAAUAAAUGAAUUAUAUCUGUUAU
rnacentral:misc_RNA from 1 species